GUACUUGCUUCGGCAACACAUAUACUAAAAUUGUAACGAUACAGAGAUUAGCAUGGCCCGUGUGCAAGGAUGACAUGCAAAUUUGUGAAGAUUCCAUAUUUUAA